rnacentral:tRNA from 1 species
GGAGGCGUGGCGGAAUCGGCAGACGCAGCGGACUUAAAAUCCGCGGGGCCUCACGGCUCAUGGGGGUUCGAGUCCCCCCGCCUCUA